UACGUAGGGGGCAAGCGUUGUCCGGAUUUAUUGGGCGUAAAGAGCGUGUAGGCGGUCAGGUAGGUCCGUUGUGAAAACUCGAGGCUCAACCUCGAGACGUCGGUUGAAACCGUUUGGCUAGAGUCCGGAAGAGGAGAGUGGAAUUCCCGGUGUAGCGGUGAAAUGCGCAGAUAUCGGGAAGAACACCCGUGGCGAAGGCGGCUCUCUGGGACGGUACUGACGCUGAGACGCGAAAGCGUGGGGAGCGAACGAGG
rnacentral:rRNA from 1 species